AGUGAACGCUGGCGGCAUGCCUAACACAUGCCAGUCGAACGGUAACACCUUAAUAGCUUGCUAUUACGGGUGGACUGUGGCGGAGUACUGAGGAAUACAUCGGAAUCUACGUGUUCGCGGGGUGUAACUUAGGCUAAUUUACGCUACUACCUCCUACGAACUACGGGUGAUAGCAGGCGAUCGUGGGAACUUACGCGCUUGUGGGAGCGGAUGUCGGAGUAGCUAGUUGGCGGGGUAAAGGCGAACCAAGGCGACGAUCGGUAGCUGGUCUGAGAGGAUGAGCAGCCACACUGGAACUGAGACACGGCCCAGACUCCUACGGGAGGCAGCAGUGGGGAAUGUUGGACAAUGGGCGCAAGCCUGAUCCAGCCAUACCGCGUGGGGGAAGAAGGCCUUCGGGUUGGAAAGUGCUUUUGUUGGGAACGAAAAGGAGCACGCUAAGACAGGGGGGUUAUGACGGUACCGAAAGAAUAAGCACCGGCUAACUACGUG
rnacentral:rRNA from 1 species